rfam:Oryza punctata chromosome 1, whole genome shotgun sequence.
UAGUUUUGUCCUAAAUCAAAGUUCUCUAAAUUUGACCAAGUUUAUAGAAAAAUAAUUAACAUCUACAAUACCAAAUAAAUACACUAUCAAGACAUAUUUCAUGGUGGAUUUUACUGAAACCAAUUUGAUGUUGUAGAUGUUGGUGCAUUUUUCUAUAAACGUGGUCAAAAUAGAAAAGUUUGACUUGAGGACGAAACUCA